AGAGUUUGAUCCUGGCUCAGGAUGAACGCUAGCUACAGGCUUAACACAUGCAAGUCGAGGGGAAACGACAUCGAAAGCUUGCUUUUGAUGGGCGUCGACCGGCGCACGGGUGAGUAACGCGUAUCCAACCUGCCCACCACUUGGGGAUAACCUUGCGAAAGUAAGACUAAUACCCAAUGACGUCUCUAGAAGACAUCUGAAAGAGAUUAAAGAUUUAUCGGUGAUGGAUGGGGAUGCGUCUGAUUAGCUGGUUGGCGGGGUAACGGCCCACCAAGGCGACGAUCAGUAGGGGUUCUGAGAGGAAGGUCCCCCACAUUGGAACUGAGACACGGUCCAAACUCCUACGGGAGGCAGCAGUGAGGAAUAUUGGUCAAUGGACGAGAGUCUGAACCAGCCAAGUAGCGUGCAGGAUGACGGCCCUAUGGGUUGUAAACUGCUUUUAUAAGGGAAUAAAGUGAGUCUCGUGAGACUUUUUGCAUGUACCUUAUGAAUAAGGACCGGCUAAUUCCGUGCCAGCAGCCGCGGUAAUACGGAAGGUCCGGGCGUUAUCCGGAUUUAUUGGGUUUAAAGGGAGCGUAGGCCGGAGAUUAAGCGUGUUGUGAAAUGUAGACGCUCAACGUCUGCACUGCAGCGCGAACUGGUUUCCUUGAGUACGCACAAAGUGGGCGGAAUUCGUGGUGUAGCGGUGAAAUGCUUAGAUAUCACGAAGAACUCCGAUUGCGAAGGCAGCUCACUGGAGCGCAACUGACGCUGAAGCUCGAAAGUGCGGGUAUCGAACAGGAUUAGAUACCCUGGUAGUCCGCACGGUAAACGAUGGAUGCCCGCUGUUGGUCUGAAUAGGUCAGCGGCCAAGCGAAAGCAUUAAGCAUCCCACCUGGGGAGUACGCCGGCAACGGUGAAA
rnacentral:rRNA from 1 species